ACGGGAGGCAGCAGUGGGGAAUAUUGCACAAUGGGCGCAAGCCUGAUGCAGCGACGCCGCGUGAGCGAAGAAGUAUUUCGGUAUGUAAAGCUCUAUCAGCAGGGAAGAAAAUGACGGUACCUGACUAAGAAGCCCCGGCUAACUACGUGCCAGCAGCCGCGGUAAUACGUAGGGGGCAAGCGUUAUCCGGAUUUACUGGGUGUAAAGGGAGCGUAGACGGCGCUGCAAGUCAGAUGUGAAAGGCUGGGGCUUAACCCCGGGACUGCAUUUGAAACUGCAGUGCUCGAGUGCCGGAGAGGUAAGCGGAAUUCCUAGUGUAGCGGUGAAAUGCGUAGAUAUUAGGAGGAACACCAGUGGCGAAGGCGGCUUACUGGACUGUAACUGACGUUGAGGCUCGAAGGCGUGGGGAGCAAACAGGAUUAGAUACCCUGGUA
rnacentral:rRNA from 1 species